ACGGUGGAGAGGGGCUUCCCCACACCUGGGUCAAGCACAUCCAGUCUGCCGCUGUGAGCUACAGACGGACACUCCCUCCAAGGUCUGACUAGGACAUGGGUCAGACAACAGCAAGACAGCUGCUAAAUAUAUGGCAGAAGAGCUUUCCAGGGCAGAAAGGUAUUGCACAGUUGACAAAAAGGGCGACUGUCGAGGAGUGGAGCCACCAGAAGAUCUGGAGAAAAUGCAUACUAUUAAAAUUAUCAUCUUAUUUCAAUAUA
rnacentral:lncRNA from 1 species